ACAGAGGAAACAAUGACUUCAACACAAAAGGACCAACAUAGAGAGAGAAGUCAGCGCUCUCAGGAGGCCGACAAACCUCACAGAAGAAAGGGAGAGAAAAAAUACAGCUGUGAUGAGUGUGGGAAGGGUUUUACCUCGGCUGGACACUUAAGAAGACACCAACUCAUCCACAGUGGAAUUAAACCUUACAACUGUGACUUCUGUGGAAAGUCUUUUACCUCGGCUGGACACUUAAAAAGACACCAACUCAUCCACAGUGGAAUUAAACCUUACAGCUGUGACUUCUGUGGAAAGUCUUUUACCUCAGCUGGACACUUAAGAAGACACCAACUCAUCCACAGUGGAAUUAAACCUUACAGCUGUGACUUCUGUGGAAAGUCUUUUACCUCGGCUGGACACUUAAAAAAACACCAACUCAUCCACAGUGGAAUUAAACCUUACAGCUGUGACUUCUGUGGAAAGUCUUUUACCUCGGCUGGACACUUAAAAAAACACCAACUCAUCCACAGUGGAAUUAAACCUUACAGCUGUGACUUCUGUGGAAAGUCUUUUACCUCGGCUGGACACUUAAAAAGACACCAACCCAUCCACAGUGGAAUUAAACCUUACAGCUGUGACUUCUGUGGAAAGUCUUUCACCCAGCCGCUAAGCUUAAAAAACCACCAACUCAUCCACAGUGGAGUUAAACCAUACAGCUGUGAUCAGUGUGGAAAGUCUUUUACCAAGUCUGGACACUUAAAAACACACAAACUCACCCACAGUGGGGUUAAACCAUACAGCUGUGAUCAGUGUGAAAAGUCUUUUACCCGUCCCGGACAAUUAAAGAGACACCAAUUUAUCCAUAAUGGAGUUAAACCAUACAGCUGUGAUCAGUGUGAAAAGGGAUUUACUGCGCCUGGACAAUUAAAGAGACACCAACUCAUCCAUAGUGGAGUUAAACCAUACAGCUGUGAUCAGUGUGGAAAGUCCUUUAACCAGUCUGGACACUUAAAAACACACCAAUUCAUCCACAGUGGAGUUAAAGCGUAUAGCUGUCAAUUGUGUGGAAAGUCUUUUAGCGAGCCUGGAAGCUUAAAAAGACACCAUCUUUCCCACACUCAAGUUAAACCGUACCGCUGUGACUUGUGUGGAAAGUCUUUUAUUCAGCCUGGACAUUUAAAAACCCAUCAGUUCAUCCACAUUGGAGUUAAAUCGUACAAUUGUGACUUGUGUGGAAAGUCUUUUUUUGAGCCUAGACACUUAAAAAGGCACCAGGUCAUCCACAGUAGAGUUAAAGCAUACAGCUGUUAUCAGUGUGGCAAGGCUUUUUCUUAUCGUAGCAAGUUAAAGAAGCAUCAAAUUAUCCACUCUGGGAUUAAGGCAUAUAGCUGUGACAUUUGUGGUAAAACCUUUAGUUUUAAAAGUUACCUAAAUAGACACCUCCGCAUUCACACUGGACAGGAUGUUUACUGCUGUGAUCAGUGUGGCAAAAUGUUUAAAACAGCCACACACUUACAAUACCACAUGUUUAGCCACACUGAGGAGAGACUUUAUAAAUGUGACCUGUGUGAUAAAACUUUUAAAGCUCCACGUUACCUGAGAGUCCACCAACAGAUUCACACCAGAGAGAAACGCUACAAGUGUAGUUACUGUGAGAAGCAGAGCGACACAGAUGGAUCCACUUCUCAACCCUGUCGUCACUGUGGUGGUGGGAAAAUGUUUCGCUGUGAACUUUGUGGAAAAACUUUCAAUCAUCAAGAGUGCCUAACAAGACAUCAACGUAGACAUACUGGAGACAAAAUGAACUACUGCAAAGAAUGUGGGAAAGGCUUCCCCAUUCCAAGUACAUUAAAAAAACACGAACUCAUUCACAGUGGGGUUAAAAAGCACCUCUGUGAUCAGUGUGGGUCAUUCUUUACUAGUGCAAGUCAGCUUAAAGGGCAUAUACGAAUCCACACAGGAGAGAAACCAUACAAGUGCGGACACUGUAACAAAAGCUUCUCACAUUCAAAUAGUCGUAACCUUCAUGAACGUACACACAUUAGAUGGAACUUCAGCUGUGACCAGUGUGACAAGAACUUCAGGAAUGUCAGUUCAUACUCUGAACACAAACGAUCCCACGCUGUAAAUAAAUCGUUUCACUGUUACCAAUGUGCAAAAACAUUCACUUCAUUAUCUGCUCUUUGCAAACAUCAGUGUGAGCAUGCAGAACUGAAAUCCCUGGAUCACAAUGAAUCUGCAGAGACAGAAAGAUCCUCUUCUGGUUUCAGAGUCAGACUUAAAAACCUUGAGAUCAGGCUCCACAGAGUUCAGAUGGAAUCUUCAGUGAAGAGUGUCAGCUGAUGUCACACUUGGAUCUGAUGAGCUGGCUCUGAUUUCUGGGCCUACAGUGAAUAAUCCCGAAUGUUAAAUUUAAGAAGCUGCAAGUAUAGAUAAUGUAGAUCAAGAUUUUUUCUUUCGAUGCUCUAAAAAAUUUUUUUUAAUUUUUUAGUUUUUUUAAUCUUUUCCCUUUUAGGACACAGUAGUGUUUAGUAGUAGUAGUUGUAUUAUUAAUGUAUAUUUAUUAACUGUCUUUUAUAUCCAACUGAUAUUACAAAACUUGUUUAAAAAGCAGAUGGAAAAGCAUCUUGAGAAAAUUGGGGUAAAGCAGCAAAGUCUGCAGUUGACUCUGUUGUUGUUCUAUAGUGAGACCAGCCAUGGCCCAGUCUUCUGGAGUUUUCUUAAAUGAUGUUUAUUCGUUAGUUCUUUGGUUUAAUCUAAUGGACCAUAAUCGAUGUCUCUAUUUGUAAGGAGGAUGUAAAUCUGAUAAUUUCAAAUCCUCUUUCUUAGACUGUGAGACAGUCAGAAGUGAACACACAGACCAACUUUGGCUUUUUAAGUGUGUUCAGUAAAAGUUUUCAGAGCUGGUUACAAGUACACAGCAUCACCAAGAGUGCACUCAGCAGUGUUGUGAGUAUAUUCAAGGGUGUAUUUAGGCCUGUUUUGUGUCUAUGUGAGUUUAGUGAUCUCUUUUGUUGUAAGUAAUUCUCACUACAUCCAUGUUGUCCAAAGGAAUGAUGUCCAAAUGAUAUGGGAAACACCUCUUUUUAUUUGAAUGUGGUGGAAAAUCUGUGUUUCAUCUGAUUUAGCUUCUAACAUCAUCUAGUGUGUGUGGAGAUUAAAAAAACAACAACAAAAAACCCCAAUGCAGCUAACUGUCAGAUGUUUUCAUGGUCAUUAGGCACUUUGUCUGUCUUUGUUAUGCCUAGUGACUGUGAGAAGAAAACUCCCCACCAUUAGAACAGACAAAGAUUGUAUCUACAUGGAGAUAAAAGUGGUGAUAUUUUCCCUUUUUGGUAUCAAUGCUGUGUGAAAACUCGCUGCUGUGUUGAUCAAUAUGCAAAUAUCUAUUUUAAUAAAUAAUUAAUUUCA